rnacentral:lncRNA from 1 species
CCGACCACACCGUCUCCUCGCGUUUUCUCUCACGAGAGGAGGAAUCAGCGAAGAAAGCGCCGCCGCUUCACCCGCGUCGCCUCCUCCGCCGCCAUCCCUUUUCCUCCCUCUAACUCCCUAAUUCUGCCGAGCUUCUUCGCCGCAACCACCGUUCGUCGUCCAAGUUUCACCGGCUGUUGGAUCCAGUGCCUCACAGCUGAGGAGCAUCUCCGCCUCGACCGUGGGCUAGGUGUCAUCGCAAGCUGCCGGCGCUGGUUCAUCUCCGCCUGA